AUCCAUAAAAAAUAUAUUUUCGUUAGUGUAGCAUGUAAAUGAACUUGUUUGGUUUAUUCUGUUGUAAUAGAACGUUCAGUGAAUUUUAUAUUCCACUAUAUUUGGAAAAAAAUAGUAAUUGAACUUCCACUAAAGUAUAUAAAAUGUUCAAGGAAGUUCAAGAGAAUAUGAAAGACAAAAUGCCAGGAAAAAGACCAGACGACGUGAGCAGUGUGUACGAAUAAGCAAAGUUCCACAAUUAAUAACAUUUCUAAUUCUUCAAGAUCAUCAUCUAACGUUUUACCUGACUGAAUUCACAAAUUCAACAAGCUCCUGCAAUCAGAAUUAGUUUGGAAUAUUUUGGAAUGUCUACAUUAUUGUAGAUUACAGCCUCCUGCUAUCCACACUCUAGCUUACGAACAACCAGAGUUUAAGAUUUGCGUUGAGAACGGUUGAGAGGUGACAUUCGUUUUUCAGUUUGGUCAAAAGCAGAACACAUGGUGGAGGCUCAAUGAUGAUUAUGGCAUGUUUUGGAGGAAGGGCGAUUGAUCGGCAGAAAAUUUAUCUUUUCCAGUAUGACAACGAUCCCAAGUAUUCAUCCGAAGCAGUGCAAAGAGUAUUUGAAAGAAUUGGAAAGGAAGGAUGUGGUGAAAGUAAUUAUUUGAUCGUUGUAGUCGCCUGACCUCAACCCGUUUGAGUUGUUGUGGUACAAAUUAAACAGGGAAGUCAGAAAAACAAUGUGCAUUAAAAUAAUAAAAGCAGAAGAGGGUUAUAUCAAUAAAUUAAUAAUUUAAAUAUAUAAUAAUUACAGAGUGUACU